AUUAUGUUUUUUAAGUUAGUAUUUUAAAAUUUACUGGUCAACAAAUAUUUUUUUUUUUUAAAUGUGUGAAUGUAUAAUUAAAUAUGUAUUAAGAUUUAUGAGAAUUAUAUAGUAUUUGAUUUAUUAAGAUAUUUAUAUAAAUUUUUUCCAAGCAUAUAUAUAUGUGUCACAUUCAGCAUCCACUUAGCUUACUAAUUCAAGAAGGCACAUGGCACAGUUUGGUGGGUAUACUGUGUGUGUGUGUGUGUGUGUGUGUGUGAGACCUCCUGUGCAUGCGUUUUUUUUGUUGUUUUUUUUCAUACAUGUAAAAGGCUUGCAUUUUUGAGUGAUUGAUUAGAUGAGUGAGUAAUGUGUGUGUGAGUGUGUGUUUAACAGUUAACGCGGCAGGGAGUGGACAGAAGGGCCAAGUGUGACAGGUGGACAGGCAUGAUAAGGAGAGAGCGGUGCAGCCCAGCGCUCAGCAGAAGCAGACCCCAGGAGAAUAUCCAGCCAAAAGCAGCUAAUAGCUGAUACUCAUCAGAGAUAGAGCCACUGAAGAUUUCCUUUCUCUGUGGAAUAGUCCGUUCAUUCAGCUCCAGCCCAAAUUCUCCUCCCUAAAAAUGUGAAAAGAUGUUGUUAAUCAAGUUUUAUACAACAGAACAGUUAAUGUUGGGACUGAAGGACUGUGCCAUGAUACGACGUAUAUCAAGGCUUUCUGCUUUACAGAUUUCACAUCAGUGUCUCAAUGCAAACUCAGCAAUGUUGUAACUCCAAGAAGAAGGCAUGGCAAGAGGAAGUUCACAGUCUCCAAGGCACCAAAUUACGCCAUUGAUCCGAACCCAAAAUGGCUCCAUGUCUGGCAUUUUCAGAGGCCGUUUCCAAGUCAAUGUCAUCCUAUCUGCCUUAAACUAAAAGAGACAAAUACGACUGGAAUAAGGUAAAGAUGGAGUGGUUGUCUUGCUGUUGUGCUGGUAUCAGACAUGGGCUCUUCAUCAGAUGACUAAUGGAGUUGUGCAGCUAACCAGGAGGCCCAAGGCUGUUUGUUAGCUCCUAACAAGGUGAACCAGCUCCUACGGAACAGCACACUAGCGCUGAAGGAUUUAUUAUAGAUCUGCGUGUCCGCGGGCCAUGAACAGUAUAGCGCCGGUCUCAUUGUAGUGGGUCCACCACACUAGCAGAGGGUUUAGAUCAUUAUUGCCUCAUUGUUUUGAUACAAUUUUGCAGAGCGGAUGAUGGAUGGAUGGAUAAUCGGAUGAGUAAAGGAGUUUUGGUAGCCUAGCACAUGAGGGUAAUGGAUGGACUGCAAAAACACACGAAAAUGAUAAGGAAAAGUGAGUUUUGAACAUGUUUUAUGAUGGAAUUUGGAAAAACAUUUUCAGUCUUU
ensembl:lncRNA